rnacentral:rRNA from 1 species
GACGGAGGAUGCAAGUGUUAUCCGGAAUCACUGGGCGUAAAGCGUCUGUAGGUGGUUUAAAAAGUCCACUGUUAAAAAUUGAAGCUUAACUUCAAAGAUGCAAUGGAAACUUUUAAACUUGAGUAUGGUAGGGGUAGAGGGAAUUUCCAGUGGAGCGGUGAAAUGCGUAGAUAUUGGAAAGACCACCAAUGGCGAAGGCACUCUACUGGGCCAUUACUGACACUGAGAGACGAAAGCGAGGGGAGCAAAUGGG